rnacentral:rRNA from 1 species
UACGUAGGGGGCAAGCGUUGUCCGGAUUUAUUGGGCGUAAAGAGCGUGUAGGCGGCCAGACAGGUCAGCUGUGAAAUCCCGAGGCUCAACCUCGGGUCUGCAGUCGAUACGAGCAAACUAGAGUGUUGUCAGGGAGGACUGGAAUUCCUGGUGUAGCGGUGAAAUGCGCAGAUAUCAGGAGGAACACCGGUGGCGAAGGCGGGUCUCUGGGCAACAACUGACGCUGAGGAGCGAAAGCGUGGGGAGCGAACAGG